AAGCAAUUUGCUCAUAGCCAUAGCUUUCUUGUGAAAGUAGGAUAUUAACCCAGGUGUCUUGGUGCUGGAGAACAGAACUGGCCAGAGUCCAUCCUGUCUCCCACCGGCAUCCCAUUACGAAAUGAACACAGAAAAGGCAGGUCUGCAAUGCCAACAUCUAGUAUCUAUCCCAAAGACCAGGGAGAAAGGAAGGAAAGAUUCUGGUUCUGUCCUCUUCCCCAAGGCAAGGCUGGCUGCCCUACCAACAGAGGCAAAGAGAAGAGUGUGCAAGGCUGGCUGCCCUCCCAACAGAGGCAAAGAGGAGUGUGUGUUGAAAUAUCCAUUGAAUCCCUGAGACAACUGGAUCCUGGCCCAUUGAAUCAUAAACUCAAAUCUCACAUCAUAACCCCAAAUGACCUGUUACUCACCAUGUGGCCCAGCUGUCUUCAAACUCACCAGCCUCCUGCCUUAGCCUUCUAAAUGCUUGGAUUACAGGCAUGACCCACCAUAACUGGCUUUGUUUUAGUUUCAGAGAAGAUGAAACUGAUGUGCGUCAAAAAGUAAACUACCCACAUUUUAACUGGGCACAUUCCUGUCAAUCUGAUGAGAAUCUAUUUCAUACCCUGCUUUAGCUGGUAGUCUGUCAAGGAAAUGAGCUGAACAUGUCUGUGUACAGCUUUUGUGCCAUCCCUGGAUGAGCGAGCUGUCUGCCUCUAUGUUCUCCACAAAAUGGAAUAUAGCUGUACACCCAAGCCAAGUUAUGGAGGCUGGGAAGACCUAGAAUGUGGCAUCACUAUUUGCUGAAAUUUUUAAUAUAAUGCCUCUUAGCCUGGUUUGGAGAAAACGUCACAGAGAGGCACCAUUUGUUGUGGUUUUACAUGAAAAUUUUCUGACCCUGAACCUGGUUUGAUGGAAAUCAUUUGCUGAGGUUAUUUAGAAAAUUGUUACCUCAAAAAUGACCUAGGGGUCCUUAGAAUAAUAACACACAGAAGAAUAGCCUCAUUUUUCUGUUGGGCCCAGGAAACCAUGCCGAUUACCGACCGAGCUCUCAAUGGAAAAAUGCAGUCGGCGUGAACCACGCACGAACACAGCAGAGAAAGAAGAAAACACACACCACGAGGAACCCUAAUAGGACAAUACAUUAUAAGUCACAGUGCUACGGAGAAACCCAGUAGCCACAUGGAAGCAGAGACCAUGCAUAUGCAUCUACUCCGCAGCUCUGUGAAUGUCAGCAGCUCCCACGGACUGGAGAUCCCGUGAGAUCCCGUGAGAUCUCACCCAUAGCCUCAUGGUACAUCCACUUGGUGUGCUGGGAGAGUCAGGAUGAGGACCUGAGAAGAACAGCAGCUUGAACCUGACUUCAUUUAACAGCCCACUGCCCUCUUGCCAAGAACCCAUCACAGACCUUCCCAGAAGAGAGGGAUGAGCCUCACCUAUGAAUAAGUCCUCAGAAACUCAAAUUUGAUUCUAAUGGAUUGUUUUCUCAGAAAGACUGAGCAUGUCCCCCCACAUCUCUGUCAUUUCCCACAGUAGUAACCUCUGCAGAUGCCACAUAGAAAACAAAACAAAACAAAAAAACAUGAGGUUGGUGGGCAGAUAGGCAGGGUAUAAACAAACAGCCUUGUAACCCAGAAGCUGUGUGAUAUACAGUAAACUUCACAACACUGAAAAGAUGUCCUAUCUGUUAAAAUGGGGUAAUAACAACUACCCGAAUGUUUAGGAAUAGAACUUCAAUAAAUGAUACAUUUUAUAGUACAGCAGACCAUCCUGUAAAGGUUUCAUCCUUCACUGUGGUGAUAAAUAUCCCAAACCACAUUGAAAAGCAUUGCAUCUACAUUUAUCUACACUGUAACUGUACUGUAAAUCAUGGGGGAGGGGAGAAUCAUAAAAACACCACCUGUCACCGUGUCAUUAAAGCAAGUUGGAAGUGAUACUUACAGAAACACAGCAAGAGCACCCCCAGUCACACAGUUCAAUCUCUUAGCAAGCGUUUUCUUUCUAGCCCAGUGGUUCUCAGUUUGGAAUUUUUGGCACUGCCUAGAGAUAGUUUUGUUGUUAAAACUGAGAAAAGAGCCGGGCGUGGUGGCACACGCCUUUAAUCCCAGCACUCAGGAGGCAGAGGCAGG
rnacentral:lncRNA from 1 species